UAUACCUACGGGGCGCAGCAGUGGGGAAUAUUGGGCAAUGGAGGAAACUCUGACCCAGCAAUGCCGCGUGAAUGAAGAAGGUCUUCGGAUUGUAAAGUUCUUUAGUCAGGGAAGAAGUCAAUGACGGUACCUGAAGAAUAAGCUCCGGCUAACUACGUGCCAGCAGCCGCGGUAAUACGUAGGGUGCGAGCGUUAAUCGGAAUUACUGGGCGUAAAGCGCUCGUAGGCGGUAUGUCAAGUCAAGGGUGAAAUCCCCGCGCUCAACGUGGGAACUGCCUUUGAAACUGGCAAACUGG
rnacentral:rRNA from 1 species